CAGCCAGUCCAGUGACUAGACCGGAAGACCUGGUGCAUGCUUCUGGUGGCAGCUGGCAAUCCUUGUCUUGUGGCUGCAUCACCCCAAAAUUCAAGACAAGCUUCUCAUAAAUCCACAGACGCAUUUGGAAUCACUAGAGAAGAGCAUCAACAUGUGCUUUGAAAUGUAAGUAAAAUGUUUCUUCUUCAGGAUGCUUGCAGUCAAAGUCAAUUCUUCUGUAAAGCAGAGCUCUUGAGACCACCUCCAGAGAAGAGCUUUUCCUUGAAAUGGGCUUGCUCAUUCCCACAUUAACCUGAUUAUUCCCCUCUCAUUAAAGCUAGUGAUUUCGAAACUUUCUCUAGAGAAAAAAUGCCCUAGAUAUUUGUAAUUCUAUUUCUGGUCCCUGUGUUUUCGAGGAUGUCACCAUUCCUUGCCUCCUGUGACUAAUACACACUGUUCCUCAGAGCCAAUCCACUUCCGCAUUUAGAAAGUGGCUAUUGGUGAAGUUGCCAGCAA